CGGGGGGGGCAAGCGUUGUUCGGAAUUACUGGGCGUAAAGGGUUCGUAGGUGGCCCGCUAAGUCACACGUGAAAUCCCUCAGCUUAACUGGGGAACUGCGUGUGAGACUGGCAGGCUUGAGUGCAGGAGAGGAACGCGGAAUUCCAGGUGUAGCGGUGAAAUGCGUAGAUAUCUGGAGGAACACCGGUGGCGAAGGCGGCGUUCUGGACUGUAUCUGACACUGAGGAACGAAAGCCAGGGGAGCAAACGGGAUUAGAUACCCCGGUAGUCCUGGCCCUAAACGAUGAAUGCUCGGUGUGACGGGUAUCGAUCCCUGUCGUGCCGCAGUUAACGCGUUAAGCAUUCCGCCUGGGGAGUACGGUCGCAAGGCUG
rnacentral:rRNA from 1 species